GCCAAGAUGGCCGAAUAGGAACAGCUCCGGUCUACAGCUCCCAGCACGAGCGACGCAGAAGACGGGUGAUUUCUGCAUUUCCAUCUGAGGAUUAAGAAGACUUUAAGUGUUCUGAAAUUCAUCUGAAAGAAUAAGCGGGCAGAGCCUGGUCACAGACUAUGUCUUGCUGUACGUGCUUGUGAAGUAGCACCUGCCCCUGGAGUACCAGCUGCUGCUCAUCCCUUGUGCAUUCAGUGGAAACUGUCUUCCCUGCCCAAUAGCCAGGCCUCAGCACUUGCCCUGUCCCUACCUGCAGCCCUUUGCCCCCACACACUCCUCCAGGUCUCCUCCUGCCCCUGCAGCAUCAAUUAUGUG